rnacentral:rRNA from 1 species
GCACCCGCGGUAAUUCCAGCUCCAAUAGCGUAUAUUAAAGUUGUUGCAGUUAAAAAGCUCGUAGUUGGAUUUCUAGAUAAGUGGGCACUUGUGCUUUGCUUGUCUACCAGUCUUAGACUGUUACUGUGAGAAAAUUAGAGUGUUUCAAGCAGGCUGUUGCAGGAAUACAUUAGCAUGG